rnacentral:rRNA from 1 species
GGCGGACGGGUGAGUAACGCGCUAGGAAUCUGCCUAGUAGAGGGGGACAACAUGUGGAAACGCAUGCUAAUACCGCAUACGCCCUACGGGGGAAAGGAGGGGACUCUUCGGAGCCUUCCGCUAUUAGAUGAGCCUGCGUAAGAUUAGCUAGUUGGUAGGGUAAAGGCCUACCAAGGCGACGAUCUUUAACUGGUCUGAGAGGAUGACCAGUCACACUGGGACUGAGACACGGCCCAGACUCCUACGGGAGGCAGCAGUGGGGAAUAUUGGACAAUGGGCGGAAGCCUGAUCCAGCCAUGCCGCGUGUGUGAAGAAGGCCUUAGGGUUGUAAAGCACUUUCAGGGGUGAGGAAGGGUAGCUAGUUAAUACCUAGUUAUCUUGACGUUAGCCCCAGAAGAAGCACCGGCUAACUCUGUGCCAGCAGCCGCGGUAAUACAGAGGGUGCAAGCGUUAAUCGGAAUUACUGGGCGUAAAGCGCGC